UCUUAGGAUAGUAUAUCAGUCAGGGUUCUCCAGAGACAAAGAACGAAUAGGAUAUCUAUGUCCCUGAGAGGGAAUGUUUUAGGGGAACUGGCUCACGUGAUUAUGGAGGCUGAGAAGCCACAUGACAGGCCAUCUGCAACCUGGAGACUAUAGGAUGAUGGUAGCAUAGCUCAGUUCAAGUCUGAAGACCUCAGAACCAGGGAAGCUGAUGGUGUUACUUUCAGUCUAAGGCCAAAGACCUGAAAACCUGUGCCAGGGUAAGAAGUGGGAGCACUUGGCGCUUGUGCAAAUCCCGGAGUCCAAAGGGUCAAGAGCCUGGAGUUCUGAUGUUCAAGGACAGGAGAAGGAAGACUCCUUUAUUGCCAUAUGAAACUAUAAUUUUGACUGCGAGAAUGCUGCCAACAUUUCAGGCAUUCUGUAGAAUCUGCCCACUAUUUACUGGAAUGAACCAGAGCCAACUUAACCUGAUAAUUAAUUGUUUAUCAACAGACUGGAGCUUGAUAAAUACAGAGGGACAAGAGGCAGGAUAAUUCUGGACAGAAGACAACAGAUGCCCAGCGAGGGCCCCACCCUCAAGACUGGAACCACGGCCCAAAGUGGAACAAACAUUCCUGUUUUCCCUCUUGAAUGUUGCCUUAUCCAAAAUCACCCAUGGCCUGCCCUGCCCCCCAUCCUGUGCCCAUAAAAACCCCAGGCUUCGCUGGCAGAGGGAGGAGAAGAGGAGAAGCAGCUGGACGUCAAAGACUAUGGUUGGACAUUGGAGAGAAGCAGCUUGACUUGAGAGGGACGGCUUGACGGCAGAGCUUUGAAGAAUCCUAUGCCGGACUCUGGGGGAAGAUUACCUUCUCGCUCCAUCACCUUUUCAGCUCCCCUUCCCACUGACAGCCACUUUCAUUGGCAAUAAAAUCCUCUGCAUUUACCAUCACCAAUUUGUUCAUGUGACCUCAUUCCUCCUGGAUGCCCAGUAAUUACUCGCGUGCGAGUAGGAAAGGCUGUCACACUGAUCCUCCACUGAGCUGUUAACACCUAAGCCAUCUGCGGAUGGCAAAGCUAAAAGAGCACUGACUGCAACUCUCUUUCUGGGGCUUCGGGGUCAUGGGCACCCCCACGAAUGCUGCCGAAUUUGUUCCUGCCGGUGUCCAAAAGUGCUUGCCCUGGCUCCCGCACCCGCUCACCUGCGUGCUCCCUCCCACUAGGGGUUGAGUGCGGCAGCUUCCAGUGAGUGGAGUUCGCCCUUGCCAGCGCCUGUGCACUCCAGUUCCUGCCCACGAAGGGGUCAGGGAAACAAAAUGACUCCUGGUCUAGAAAGAUAGGAACCUGUCUUUUAGAAUUUUAGUUGCCUUUCUUAAUUUCUGCUAUGUUAAUUUGGAAAUUAUCUAUAAAUGAUCUCUCCACUUUAACUGGUUGGAAUUCAAAUGUCUCCCAGCCUUGUGUGAACUUUGGGUUUGCUCAGCUUAUACGACCCUGGUAGUUUUUGCCCAGCUUCAUGGAGUUCUAACUUCAUGCCAAAUUUGCUGCGUAGAUUAGAAUUCAGCAACAAACUCAAGGAGACUUACCGUGUUCUUUCUCUUCUUAGCUGCCUCCUUUCUAAUUCACUGCCUCACAAGUCACUUCAGUCUCACUGAACUCUGGUCUCUGCCUCCUCAAUAUUGUGAGCCUGCUCUGCUCUGCUUGGGUUCUCCUUCUCAGUGCGAUGCCUUGUGGCAAAAAGCUUGGGUGAUAAUAAGGCUGAUCUUGUUUGUUUUGCUUCUUUUGGGGAUCUAAGUCCGUAAGAGGACUUUGAUCCUGUAUAUCAAAGUCCUGUGUUGCUUGUUGUCUCAUGUUUGAAAAUAACGGUUUCAUAUGUUUCUGGUGGGAUGGCAAGUCUGGUACUUCUUACUCCACUGUGGUGUCUGUUGAAACAAAUAAUAAAACUUUG
rnacentral:lncRNA from 1 species